AAUCUGAGGGAGCUUGCUCCCAAAGAUUAGCGCCGGACGGGUGAGUAACACGUGGGCAACCUGCCUAUAAGACUGGGAUAACUUCGGGAAACCGGAGCUAAUACCGGAUAAUCCUUUUCUACACAUGUAGGAAAGCUGAAAGACGGUUUCGGCUGUCACUUAUAGAUGGGCCCGCGGCGCAUUAGCUAGUUGGUGAGGUAACGGCUCACCAAGGCGACGAUGCGUAGCCGACCUGAGAGGGUGAUCGGCCACACUGGGACUGAGACACGGCCCAGACUCCUACGGGAGGCAGCAGUGGG
rnacentral:misc_RNA from 1 species